GAUGAACGCUAGCGGCAGGCUUAACACAUGCAGGUCGAGGGGCAGCGAGGGUAGCAAUACCUGUCGGCGACCGGCAAACGGGUGCGGAACACGUACACAAUCUGCCUCUGUCUGGGGCAUAGCCCGAAGAAAUUCGGAUUAAUUCCCCAUAAGAUAUUAGGGUGGCAUCACCUAUAUAUUAAAGAAAUUCGGACAGAGAUGAGUGUGCGUCCCAUUAGCUAGUUGGUAGGGUAACGGCCUACCAAGGCGACGAUGGGUAGCUGGUGUGAGAGCACGACCAGCGACACGGGCACUGGGACACGGGCCCGACUCCUACGGGAGGCAGCAGUGAGGACUAUUGGUCAAUGGACGCAAGUCUGAACCAGCCAUGCCGCGUGAAGGAUGAAGGCCUUCUGGGUUGUAAACUUCUUUUAUCUGGGAAGAAAAGCACUGUUUCUACGGUGUCCGACGGUACCAGAGGAAUAAGCACCGGCUAACUCCGUGCCAGCAGCCGCCGUAAUAC
rnacentral:rRNA from 1 species